rnacentral:lncRNA from 1 species
GAAAAAAAAGUAAAAAAACAGAAACAUACCAAUGAUGGGAUUUUUCAGUGCGGUGGCUCCGCCGGCUCACCAUCGCAGCUGGGCAUUUUUCUUUAGUCAACUUAUAGAAAAUAGAACGGUGAAUACAACGGUAGAAAAAUUGUAUGAAAUAGGAAACAGGAAGCGGCUCAUCGGAGGAGGUUGCGGGUUUUGCCUGCAACGGCACCAUCAGACUUUGCCCGGGAUUUUUAGCUCACCCUUCGUUCCUUUUGCUCUAAUUUGGCCAUAGGGGUGCUCGAAAUCAAAUUCCAAGCAGAUGAGAGAAUUAUUACCUUUUUUAGCGAUCAGAGGUGGCUCCGGUGUGGCGACGGUCGGCGGUCGGCUCCCUUUCCAGCAACUAGUUCUUCUUCUUCAGCGAGAGGCUGGCAGCUAGGGUUUGGGGUCAAUGUGAUACAAAAUAUUUAUACUUGUCUCACGUUAAUCUGGGUCGUUCAUCACGUUUGAUCUCAACAGUCUGAUCACGUUUAAAGAGAAAAUAAAUCUGGACCAUUUAUCGCGAUUUGAUCUCAAUCAUCCAAUCGUGAUUAAAGAGGAAAUGAAUCUGGGUCAUUCAUCGCAUUUGAUCACGACCUCUAAUCGCCCUUGAGGAGGGAACGAAUUCGGACUGUCCACGCAUGCAGGAACACUUCUAGGUCAUCCAAUCGUGGGGCACGUAGAUCGCUAGCGUGGCCUCCCGUGUGGCACUUAGUCAGCGUGCCUUGCCACGCAGCUGCUACAAUUUGUCGAGACUACUGACUGGACGAUCCUACAU